CCAAGCUUUAACAUGUCACGAUCCUGUGAGCUCGACAAAUGAAAAUGCAGCAGUGGUUUCUCUGCUUCAAGCUGAGACCAGUGUCUCAUGAACUCAUGGCCAGCAUGAAUUAGAAAUCUGCUGCCUCCUCCUGCCCAGGACUUUUCAAUGACAGGCACAGCUGCAUCCCAUGAAGACCAUCCAAACUAUCUCUUAAAGGAAGACAGUAAACAAAGCAACAAACUGAUGCUCAUUCUGCAGAUGUUGAAGAUAACUGUUCAUGCUGGCACACAGUGGGGUUCUUACUCCUUACGCUAUGGAGCAUUCACCAAAACUCUCAGGAAUUAGAGACUAUAUUACUUUAGAGAAUGAGCU
ensembl:lncRNA